GGCCGUUUCGUCUAGCAGGAUAGGACGCUAGAUUUUCAUUCUAGUAACCUGGGUUCAAGUCCCAGUUCGGCUACAA
rnacentral:tRNA from 1 species